CUGGCCGUAGAAGGUGAAAGCCCUGUAGACGAAAUCCAGCGUGGGAAUUAGUGGAAUCCUGAGUAAUACAUCACACGUGGAACGAUGUAUGAAUCAGCGCGGACCACCGCGCAAGGCUAAAUACUAGUUGGCGACCGAUAGUGAACAAGUACCGCGAGGGAAAGGUGAAAAGAACCGCUGUGAGCGGAGUGAAAUAGAACCUGAAACCGUAUGUCUACAAAGUGUCAGAGCAGAGCAAUCUGCGAUGGCGUGCCUUUUGUUUAAUGAGUCUGCGAGUCAGUGUUUGUGGCAAGACUAAGGGCUUCCGGCCCGGAGUCGCAGCGAAAGCAAGUCCGAAUAGGGCGAAUUAAGUCGCAGGUACUGGACCCGAAGCGGAGGUGACCUACCCUUGGCCAGGUUGAAGCAUGGGUAAAACCAUGUGGAGGACCGAACAGGUGAACGUUGAAAAGUUCUCUGAUGAGCUGAGGGUAGGAGUGAAAGGCUAAUCAAACCCCGUGAUAGCUGGUUCUCUUCGAAAUGCAUUUAGGUGCAGCGUCACGUGCUGAUGCGCGGGGGUAGAGCACUGACAAGGCUAGGGGGCACACCCGCUUACCAAACCUUAUCAAACUCCGAAUACCGUGCAAUGGAACGUGGCAGUGAGACAGUGGGGGAUAAGCUUCAUUGUCGAGAGGGAAACAACCCAGACCAGCAGCUAAGGUGCCUAAAUAACGCUCAGUGGAAAGGAUGUGGGAUUACACAGACAGUGAGGAUGUUGGCUUAGAAGCAGCCACCAUUUAAAAAAUGCGUAAUAGCUUACUCAUCGAGUGAUCCUGCGCCGAAAAUGAUUGGCGAUCAAGCGUUAUACCGAAGCUCUGGACUUUACCUUACGGUAGAGUGGUAGAAGAGCGUUGCAUGCGCGUUGAAGGGUGAUGGCGACUGACCCUGGAGCACAUGCAAGUGAGUAUGCAGACAUGAGUAACGUAAAGCCGGGUGAAAUCCCCGGCCGCCGUAAACCCGAGGUUUCCAGGGCAACGUGUUUCGUCCCUGGGUUAGCCGGGACCUAAGCCGAGGCCGAGAGGCGUAGGCGAUGGAUAUCAGGUUAAUAAUCCUGAGCUCGCGACCCUUAAACUGGGGGGACGCAUGAGAAAAGAUGACUAGGUUAUUGAAUUCCGAGUUGAGUCCACGGACUCAGCGCAUCAUUGGAUCGAGUGCCAAGAAAAGCCCCAGCGUAUGCUAAGCGACCCGUACCGCAAACCGACACAGGUGGGUGGGUAGAAUAUACCAAGGCGUAAGAGUGAAACCUGGUUAAGGAACUCGGCAAAUUAGCCCCGUAACUUCGGAAGAAGGGGUGCCUGCAGCGAUGCAGGCCGCAGAGAAAUGGCCCAACCGACUGUUUAUCAAAAACACAGCACUCUGCAAAGACGCAAGUCGAAGUAUAGGGUGUGACACGUGACCAAUGCCGAAAGAUUAAGGCAAGGGGUUAGCCGCAAGGCGAAGCUCUGAACCCAAGUCCCGGUGAAUGUCGGCCGUAACUAUAACGGUCCUAAGGUAGCGAAAUUCCUUGUCGGGUAAGUUCCGACCUGCACGAAUCGUGAAACGAGUUGGGCACUGUCUCAACCAGGCGCUCAGUGAAAUUGUAGUGGCGGUGAAGAUGCCGCCUACCCGCAGAAGGACGGAAAGACCCUAUAGACCUUAACUGUAAGCUGUCAUUGUUUCUUCGGUUUUAAUGCUCAGAGUAAGUGGGAGACGCUGAAGACGCCCUUUAGGGGGCGUCGGAGUCAUCAAUGAGACACCACCCUUUGAAACUGGAGGAUCUAACCCUGAGCCGUGAAUCCGGCCAGAGGACCGUGUCAGCCGGUCAGUUUUACUGGGGCGGUAUCCUCCCAAAGAGUAACGGAGGAGCGCGAAGGUGGGCUCAGCCCGGUUGGCAACCGGGUGUCGAGUGCAUGGGCAUAAGCCCGCCUAACUGUGAGACCAACAAGUCGAGCAGAUGCGAAAGCAGGCCCAAGUGAUCCGGCGGUAGAAAGUGGAAUUGCCGUCGCUCAACGGAUAAAAGGUACCUUAGGGAUAACAGGCUGAUCACGCCCAAGAGUUCAUAUCGACGGCGUGGUUUGGCACCUCGAUGUCGGCUCGUCGCAUCCUGGGGCUGGAGAAGGUCCCAAGGGUCGGGCUGUUCGCCCAUUAAAGCGGCACGCGAGCUGGGUUCAGAACGUCGUGAGACAGUUCGGUCCCUAU
rnacentral:rRNA from 1 species